AUACGGCCUAGGAGCGGGAGGUGCGGCCUAGGAACUCCUAAGUGCAAGCAUGCAAUGGCCGACCUCCAGCAGCACCGCAGACGCCAGCCCAAGAAUUAUCGCCCCCAGAAAGAUGCUCUUGAAGAAUACGACGACGACGAACUCAUCAGAAGGUUUCGCCUGGACCGUGCGGGAAUUCUUUUUGUCACCGAGAUGGUGCGAGACGUCCUGCAGAGCCCCACGAGGAGGAGCCAUGCCCUCACGCCAGAGAUGAGUCUUGAUUCUCCUCAGGUAUUUGGCAACAGGCAAAAUGCAACUCUGCAGCAGUGAAGAGCUGGACCAUCACAGCAGACAGUUAGCAGAGUUAUCUCUGAAACACUGGCAGCCUUCAACACACCACACAUCAUGAGAAGAUAUCUUACAUUCCCAACAGAGAAUGAAGUGAUGCAACAGAACAAAGCAGAAUUUAUGGAAAUUGCAAACUUUCCGGGUCUGGUGGGUGUGAUAGACUGCACUCACAUAAGAAUAACUGCACCAAAAGAGUUUCCAGACGAGUAUAUCAACUGGAAGGGAUAUCACAGCAUCAAUGUACAGAUUGUCUUCAAUGCAAGAUGUGAAGUCAUCAGCUGUUUGGCUAAGUGGCCAGGAUCCGUACGUGAUUCAGGGAUCCUCAAUGAAAGUGGGCUUAAGCAGUGUUUUGACGCUGGUAUAAUCCCACGUGGAUGCUCACUGCUAGGAGACCAUGGGUAUCCCUGUAAACCUUGGCUGCUGACACCUUAUCUUAAUCCCCAGCCAGGACCACAAGCAAAUUACAAUAUAGCACACUCAAAGACCAGGAAUGUUGUGGAGAGGGGAAUUGACCAGCUGAAACGAAGAUUUCCAGUCCUCCACACUGAAAUAAGGGUCAGUCCACCACUGAAGGUGUGCCAGAUUGUCUAUGUAUGUGCAGUGCUGCACAACAUUUGCAAGAGGCGCAAUGUUCCUCUUGAUGAUGAGCAUCUGGAUAAUCAAAAUGCUGUCCCAGAUCAUGAUGUUGGGGCAAUAGCACCAGCAGCUUGGGGACAAGACAAUGCACGAACCUUCAGGGACCACUUUGCUGCAACUCACUUCAGACUGCAGUAAUGUUCAAAAGACAUUGAAGACAGAGCUUCCAGGUCGUCCCAGAACACUGAUGCUUGGGCUCUUCUAGCGUUGCCCUCCCGGCAGCAACAAGGCCAGCACCAUGGGACUUCUCGGGUGAUGGCCCCAACACAAUGCAGGUGUCAUCAGAGCUGUGACAGAGAGAUAAAAAUGUUGAGUGUCUUAUUAUGGCUAUCUGUGAUGUGUUAGUUAAUAGAUUCUGCACCUUUCUAGUCACAAAUUUUGCUAGUCCCUCUAACCACUAUUUGGUACUUGUCUGAAUGUAAGGCAAAACUCUGACCCUACACUGAGUGCUGGAAAUCUCGCAUGCCUGCAAUGCUCAUCGAUUGAAAGAUGCCCACUUUUCCUUAUUCUUACUCUAGCUUUCUUAUUUGCACCCCUCACUCCACCUCCUCCUCCUUUUCUUCACCUUUGCCACUCUGCCACAUCAGUCCCAACUCAUCUCUCUCUUUGUCUCGUCAUUCAUUAACUUUUGAAUGCAUUUCAGAAUAUCUGUAUAGAUUUAAUUCUCUUAAGAUGAUAAUAGUGGUAUGCAUACUACAACACACAACAAUGAAGAUCUACAGUUUCACCCUUAAGAGGAGUUGCUUGAACAGCCAUAACCACCAACGUUAGCAGAAUGACAUACAGCAGCAGAGAGAGGAAUGAUGAGGGAGAGAGAGAGAGAGAGAGGUCAGGUAGAUUAUAGUAACUAUGAUAUGUGUCACUCCCCUUUUUUUCAGUGUGCACCAGUCUCCCCCAAUCCUUUGAUGGUUGUCCAGCAAAUGUUCUGUUAUCCAUCCCGAGCACUAGCAGGCUUUGCUUUGACUGCUUUUGACUGUGCUUUGAGUGGGUGUCAGGGGUGUUGGUGGCCCGCCUCCUGGAAUUAAAUCAUUUAUGUAUUAGGGUGUGUGAUGUUACAUUACUAACAGUGGUCACACCUAAGCUAACACAUUCUGACAAAUUUCCUGCCGAUAAAAUGCAGGGUGUUGUGUAACUUACUGUGAUUCCAGUUAUGUAUUAUUAUUCCAGGGUAUGAUUGGUAUUAUCAACAUGGGAAUAUCUCAUCCUUUACUCAACCAAUUGCUCUUCUGUUGUCAUACAUUUAUUAAACUAACAUCUCAGACCUCACAGAAAAUUGUAGGAAAGAGUGUAAAGAUCAAAACAAGUUUAGAUAUAGCCAUGAAAUGUGUGUGGGAGACUGCAUGGCCACAGGCGGCCAAUGCAACAAUGUGUGGAAGCAUUCUUAUUGGGUUUUUAUUGUGGUGAGUUGUGAGUUGUGCCUGCCACAGGACGCUGUGGGUUAUUAAGCCACCUAAGGACGUGCGGGUUCCCACAAACAUAUCACGGCUAUUUUAGUAUUUGUUUGAUCUUUUCACUGUUUCCCAGGAAUUCACAGGAGGUUUGAAGAUAAUAGAAUUCAUGUAUGACUUGUGAAAAGAUUAAGUUGGGUAAGUAGGAGGAAAUCUGCACGUUAAUAAUACCAAACUAUUUAUGCAUCUCUGGGCCAUCACCGCGGCUGUCCUGACGUACUAAAAGCUACUAAAAUGAAAAAACAUAUAGGUGCUACAAGGACUCUAACUGCUAAUAUGAACUUCAAGCGUGGGAUUUUCUAGCACAGCAGGCUCACCUGGUUGGCCCAUCCAUUUAACAGCACGACAAGAAUAUACAGUGGAAAAGGUCAGAUGGGCAAAAAAACUGCUGGCAGCCUGCAAGUUGAUAUCCGGGAAAGCUGCAAUGGUGGCUGUACGGACUGGAAGGGUGUGCCAUGAGCAGUGUUCGGUACUUGUGUUCAGUCUUGAAAAUUAUAUAGCACAUCAGAUAAGAGAGUGUGGAAACUAUACGUAUCAAAGUUUGUUCCUACUUUUACUUUGUCCGGGUAAUAGUGGUACAGUAGUAGCAGGUUGGGGAGCGCGUGGUGAGGUGAGGCACAGUCACUGGUCCUUUGAUUAUAUUAUUCCUGGGCUGCCUCCUCGACCUUGAAAUAUAUAGAAAUCAAUGCAUAGAUGUAGUGUGUUUCACUCUACAUUUUCCCGGCAGGUUCGAUGGCACCCCGGCACCAAGUGGUCAUUGCCGCGCUGUCUGUUCAGUGCCUGUCAUAGGUUAUGCAGGAUGGCCAGUGGUGCCCUUGUUCUGUGGCAACUGCAGCUGGUGAGUUACAACUUUAUAAGUUCAAACAAACUCGGCUGACUUAAUGAGUGUGACAUGACUCUCACCCCAGACAAGCUAUAGCUGUUCCAUUGACUUACUUCCCUUAACAUGACUCCCUCCCCAUCCAAGUUAGCUGUUCCAUCAGUUACCUCAACAUGAUA